GACGGAGGGCGCAAGCGUUGUUCGGAAUUACUGGGCGUAAAGCGCGCGCAGGCGGGAAGGUAAGUCUGGAGUGAAAUUCCGGGGCUCAACUCCGGAGCUGCUUUGGAUACUGUCUUUCUAGGGACCGGUAGAGGCCGGUGGAAUUCCCGGUGUAGCGGUGGAAUGCGUAGAGAUCGGGAAGAACACCCGUGGCGAAGGCGGCUCUCUGGGACGGUACUGACGCUGAGACGCGAAAGCGUGGGGAGCGAACAGG
rnacentral:rRNA from 1 species